ACGGAAUAGAUACCCCGGUAGUCCAUGCCGUAAACUAUGGAUACUAGCUGUUGGGGGUAUCGACCCCUCCAGUAGCGAAAGCUAAACGCGUUAAGUAUCCCGCCUGUGGAGUACGAUCGCAAGAUUAAAACAUAAAGGAAUUGACGGGGACCCGCACAAGCGGUGGAGCGUGUUCUUUAAUUCGAUGCUAAACGAAGAACCUUACCAGGGCUUGACAUCCCUUGAAUUACUCCGAAAGGAGUGAGUGCUUUAUUGAGCAAGGCGACAGGUGAUGCAUGGCCGUCGUCAGCUCGUGUCGUGAGAUGUUUGGUUAAGUCCAUCAACGAGCGCAACCCUUAUACUUAGUUGUAUUUUUCUAGGUAGACUGCCCCGGUAACGGGGAGGAAGGGGGG
rnacentral:rRNA from 1 species